GACGAACGCUGGCGGCGUGCUUAACACAUGCAAGUCGAACGGUAAGCCUCUGCGUUGGGGAGCAGUGGGGGAGGGGUGAGUGAGAGGUAGACAAGAUUAACCCGGCUCUGGGAUAAGUCCAAGUUAUGGGGGCUAAUGCCAAUAGUUCACCGCUUCCCGCGUGGGUGGUGGUGGGAAGGGUUGGCGGCUGGGGAUGGGCCCGCGGCCUAUCAGCUUGUUGGUGGGGUAGUGGCGUACCAAGGCGACGACGGGUAGCCGGCCUGAGAGGGUGACCGGCCACACUGGGACUGAGAUACGGCCCAGACUCCUACGGGAGGCAGCAGUGGGGAAUAUUGCGCAAUGGGCGGAAGCCUGACGCAGCGACGCCGCGUGCGGGAUGACGGCCUUCGGGUUGUAAACCUCUUUCGGCAGGGACGAAGCGCAAGUGACGGUACCUGCUGAAGAAGCACCGGCUAACUACGUG
rnacentral:rRNA from 1 species